GCGUGCUUUUGCCAAAUUUAAUUUUGAGAAUAUGGUAGAACCAGAAUCUUCAAAUUUCAGCCUUCUUAGGUAAUCGUCUCUUUAUCUAUAUUCAAAUUUAAUUUACUCCUUGAAGAAAUUAGCUUCAUUUUCUUGAUUUCCCCAUGAAUUUAACGCAGAAAUCAAUCAAAUCUACUUGUUCAAAUGGAGAAUUACUUAUUAAUUUCAAUAAUCGACUGAAUUUUUCAUCGUUGUCAUCAUCAAAUUGUCUCCAAAUACUUACAGAUUAUAAUGGGUCUGCCAGACCCAUUUCAAACCCUCUACAUAACUUUCUACCUAAAACCCAAAACCCCCAAAACACAGUGAGUCUGAUAUGUUCAGCUUUAAAGAACGGAAACAAUGACCAUUUGUCCCUCCUUCAGAAAACCAUCCGAGAUAAUGGGCUUAUUUGUUACUUCAGUGACAGUGAAAUCUCAAGGGUCCUGUUGAGAUGCCAGUCUGAUUCAUUUAGUGCUCUUAGUUUCUUCUACUGGGUUAAGAAUGAUUUGGGUGUGGAGCCUAACACUCAAAACUACUGUCUUGUAAUUCAUAUACUUACUUGGACAAGGAACUUUUCACAAGCAAUGAAAUUUUUGUCUGAAUUGGUUGAUUUGAAGAGAAAUGGAAUGGAGGGUGUGGAUGUGUUUGAAAGUUUGCUUUCAUCUAGUGGAUUAUGUAAUUGGGACCCUGUUGUGUUUGAUAUGCUAAUUAAGGCUUUUCUCAAGGUGAAUAUGGUGAAAGAUGGAUUUAGAGCGUUUAGAAAGACGGUGAAGCAUGGUAUGUACCCGAGUGUUAUUACUGUGAACUGUCUUUUAAAUGGUCUUUCAAAGUUGAAUUAUAGCAAAAAAUGUUGGGAAGUUUAUGCUGAAAUGGAAAGAAUUGGAGUGCACCCGAAUUCGUGUACCUUCAAUAUAUUAACUCAUGUAUUGUGCAAAGAUGAAGAUGUGAACAAGGUCAAUGACUUCUUGGUUAAAAUGGAAGAAGAAGGGUUUCAACCUGAUAUAGUUACAUAUAAUACAUUAGUUAGUAGCUAUUGUAGGAAAGGAAGAAUGAAAGAUGCAGUUCACUUGUAUCAAAUUAUGUACAUUAGAGGCGUAUCGCCAGAUUUGUUCACAUAUACUUCUUUGAUAAAUGGCUUUUGUAAAAAGGGAAAUGUGAAGGAUGCUCAUCAGUUGUUUUUAAGGAUGGCUGACAGAGGGUUAAAACCAGAUAUUAUUUUGUAUAACACUCUUAUUUCUGGUUAUUGCAAAGAGGGGAUGAUGCAAGAGGCACGUUCUCUGUUGCAUGACAUGAUUGGAGAAGGGAUGUAUCCUGAUAAGUUCACUUGUUCAGUUCUUGUACAAGGAUUUCAAAAACAGGAUAAUUUGGUUUCAGCUGUGAAUUUAGUCACCGAGCUUCAAAGAUUUAGAUUUAUAGUAUCUCAUGAUAUAUACAAUUAUCUUAUUGCUGCACUUUGUAUUGAGAAUCGACCAUUUGCAGCCAAAGCUCUAAUUGAUCGAGUUUCUGGCGACAGAUAUGAGCCUCGCAAUAUGGUGUACGGGGAGUUGAUUGAAUCUUUCUGCAGAUGUAAUUUCCCCGAUGAGGCUUUAUGCUUGAAAGCAGAGAUGGUAUCAAAAGAUUUGAAGCCUGAUAUUGGUACAUAUAGAGCUAUAAUUAAAUGUUUGUGUAAAUUAGGCCGAAGCAUGGAUGCUAACUCCUUGAUGAGAGAAAUGACUGAUUGUGAUGUGUCACUUGAUAUUGAAGUCUGUAGAGCUUUAAUAAAUGGUCAUUGCAGGGAGAACAAUUUCUGUGAGGCUCAAUCGCUGUUAAGCUUCUUUGCUCAAGAAUUUAAAAUAUUUGACACAGUUUGUUACAACACAAUUGUCAGGCUUCUAAGUGGUGAAGCUGAUAUCGCAAAAUUGAUGAAAUUUCAAGAUAAAAUGAGGAAAGUGGGUUUUGCGCCAAAUCAGCUGACAUGCAAGUACCUUAUUGAUGGAUUACAGAAAGCUGUCGGAGUCCACAAAAUCAACAGCUGAGUGCAGUAAUAAGGUGCUUGGAUUCACACAUCUUGAGAUUGGACAUGGAGGUUCUUGAUCUUGACGUUUCAGAAAUAGAGGAUCAAUCACUUCAGGGUACAGGGUUGUGAAAUAUGAAGCUAUACUACUUGGAGAGGGAUUGACAUUGGUUUCUGUUAGAGUUGAACGUAAGAUCCUCAGUACUAGAGCCACAGAUCAAGUUUGAAUUAUAUGCUCACUGGUUCUUUGUGUAUUGUUUUCAGCUGUAUUAUGGUUCCUUCAUGGCUGACCUAAAUUUGGAAUUGUUAGUGGAUGGCUAAAGAAGGUGUCAAUGCUCAAAGAGAUGAGGAAGGGGGCUUGAACCAGCAGGCAUAAACACAGUCUUUCAACCGUUACAGGGAAGAAUGGGGACAAGACAUCCUAAUGGGACAUGGAAAUCUAUACAGCAAUCAAGUGUUUGUUGUGGCAACUGGCAAGUACCUUCUUGCUUCUUCAUUCUUCUUGUUGGUCUAAUGAAGGGUGCAUGCAUGCAGACAAGUAUACUGCGUACACAGUGCAAGAGAGAGCUGGAAAGGGUUGGUGAGGAUAGUAAAUGUGAAAGGAUUCAUUUGUGGGAGAUAUUCUCCAUAUUCGGGGUUUCGAAAUUGAAACAUACUUCUGAUUAAGGAUGAAAUAGUCUCGUCAUUUCAUUGUCUAUGGUGAAACAUAAAAGUUUCAAGUUGGUAUUAAUUUUUUUAUUUUUUUAUUUUUUAAAAAAAGUAUGAUAAAAAGGGCACGGAAAUGCCGUGUUUGGGCAUUGAAAGCUAAAUUUAAGCAAUGUCUGAAGAGACAAGUUGCAGAUCUUUCUUUGUUGGGGCCCUAUCACACUAUUCUUCUCUCAUCUUCUUCUAUCUCCAACAUUAAAUUUACUUCCUACCUUAUUUACAAUACAAAAUUUGUCGCUUUGCAUUUAAAACUGCAUAUUUCACAAACUACUACUAUCCCAUAACUCCUCUUUACCCGGGGCGGAUCUAGAGUGUGUCGACUUACUAUUACUAUUGUAAU